rfam:Triticum aestivum genome assembly, contig: Triticum_aestivum_CS42_TGACv1_scaffold_130583_2BL
GUACUACUCCUUUCGUCCGGAAAUACUUGUCCUUGAAAUGGAUAAAAUGAAUGUAUCUAUAACUAAAAUAAAUCUAUAUACAACCACUUUAAAGACAAGUAUUUCCAGACAGAGGGAGUACGUA